GGUGUGAACUGUGGGGUUGUGGAGUGGGUGGAUGGUCCUUGGCCAGAGAUUCUACAAAGGUGCCUAACCAGGAUUUGGGACAUGUACCAUGAGCAGAACUUGGGAAGGGUGAAUGACAAACAAGCUCAUGAGAAAGAGGUGGCCAAGCUACAGAAGGAAAUUGAUUUCCUGUCAAACAACUACAGCCAGUUGGUGGAAGAUGUAUCCAAGCUAUUUGACUAUCAAGAUGGCAAGAUGUCUCAUGACCUAUACCAGCAGGCAAUCAAUGAACUAAAUGAGAAGAAGAAACAACUUGAGGAUCAGGCAAAGAUUGAGUUAAGUAUGGAGAAGAUGAAGCUUGCCAAGGAGCAAAGGUGCAUUCUUCAAAGCCAAGCAGAUAUCAUUCAGAACAUGAGGAAGGCCAUGAAGGAAGUGGAGGGGGAGAGGGACCUACUAAGGCAAGAGAAGAAGAAGCUGGAGUAUCUGAUUGCUGAUCUGCUCAAGGCUGGGCAUGCCAGCAAAGAUAAACUGGAGAGGAUCAAGGCAAUUAUGAAUGAGUGA
rnacentral:rRNA from 1 species